rnacentral:rRNA from 1 species
UACAGAGGUCCCGAGCGUUGUUCGGAUUCACUGGGCGUAAAGGGUGCGUAGGUGGUGAGGUAAGUCGGAUGUGAAAUCUCCAAGCUCAACUUGGAAAUGGCAUUGGAAACUACCUUGCUCGAGGGUUUGAGGGGGGACUGGAAUACUUGGUGUAGCAGUGAAAUGCGUAAAUAUCAAGUGGAACACCAGUGGCGAAGGCGAGUCCCUGGAAAACUCCUGACACUGAGGCACGAAAGCUAGGGGAGCAAACAGG